GGUCAGUGAUGUGAUGUAAAAGGUCUGAUGCCCAGGUCUCCUUCCAGUCCCCUCGUCUUUCCCAGCCAGCUCUACUAAUUUUCCCAGCAUGCUCUAGUUGUGCAGCCCUGGUCUGAUGUGGCGGCUGACAUUAAUGGAUGUUUCUGCUGAAUAAGAGUCUUUUUAGAGAAUCAAGUGAGACUCCGACAGAAACAUCCCACAGAAACACAAACACAGGAGGGCCAGACUGAAGGAGCCUGGUCAGCUGAUCUCAAAAAUCAUACUGAGACC
rnacentral:snoRNA from 1 species